UGGGGAAUAUUGGACAAUGGGGGCAACCCUGAUCCAGCAAUGCCGCGUGUGUGAAGAAGGCCUUAGGGUUGUAAAGCACUUUAGGCUGGGAGGAAGGCGUGAAGUUUAAGAGACAUUACGUUUGACUGUACCGGCAGAAUAAGCACCGGCUAACUCUGUGCCAGCAGCCGCGGUAAUACAGAGGGUGCGAGCGUUAAUCGGAGUUACUGGGCGUAAAGGGCGCGUAGGCGGUUUGUUAAGUGAGAUGUGAAAUCCCUGGGCUUAACCUAGGAACUGCAUCUCAUACUGGCGAGCUAGAGUAUUGUAUAGAGGGUAGUGGAAUUUCCGGUGUAGCGGUGAAAUGCGUAGAGAUCGGAAGGAACACCAGUGGCGAAGGCGGCUACCUGGACAAAUACUGACGCUGAGGCGCGAAAGCGUGGGGAGCAAACAGGAUU
rnacentral:rRNA from 1 species